GAGACCAUCAGCCACAUAACCCUAGGGUGUGUCCUCACCAAGCAAGUUUGGGCAAUCAUCGCCGACCUGGGCAAGCUAGACUGGAUGCCGCAUCGAGAUGCAUGACUAGUGGACUGGUGGACCACGCUCAACCCUCCAAGGCAGUUCAGAAAGGAAAUCUAGACCAUGAUCAUCUUGGUGGCUUGGACGCUGCGGAAGCAUAGGAACGACAUCGUGUUCAACGGAGCUUGA
rnacentral:rRNA from 1 species